rnacentral:rRNA from 1 species
GACGUAGUGCGCGAGCGUUGUCCGGAUUUAUUGGGCGUAAAGAGCUCGUAGGCGGCUUGUCGCGUCGACCGUGAAAACUUGGGGCUCAACCCCAAGCCUGCGGUCGAUACGGGCAGGCUAGAGUUCGGUAGGGGAGACUGGAAUUCCUGGUGUAGCGGUGAAAUGCGCAGAUAUCAGGAGGAACACCGGUGGCGAAGGCGGGUCUCUGGGCCGAUACUGACGCUGAGGAGCGAAAGCGUGGGGAGCGAACAGG